AGAAAGACAAGGAGGGAUACACAUUCCUUACGCUGUUUUUCAGCUUCUCAAUAGACUGGGUCAGUGUUUGCAGCAAGAUGAGGAGGCUCUUCUGUAGAGAUAUUGAGAGGCUCCGUCUUCCACCUGCCACAUGGCAAUAAGAAAGGAAGGUUCACUUCAGGGCCAGUGUACCAUGUAAGUUCCAUUAUAUCCUGUUCUGGGACAAGAAGGAUGCAAAUGCACUAGGCUAGUCCACAUGCUACAUGAUGAAUUUCACCUCCAGUAAUCUUACUGAAAUUAACAGGGAUAACCUGUAUGAGUUAGUAUUAGAAAGAACAAAGUCAACAAGUGCUUCCAUCUGUCAAGCCAUCAUUUCACAAAAUGAAGAUGAUCCAGACAAGGUCAGCUCUAGUUACAACAGGAAUGAGGCUAUUAAGUGCGAUGAAAGAAGAAAUGGCUCACUCUCUCAGGAUCAAUUCUAGUGGUAGAAGAUACUCAAAUACUCACUCCAUCAAGUAACCUCCAGUGCGAUUUCAGGCAAAUCUGUUACCUUCCCUAAGAUAAACUUCUCUGUCUGUGAAAGGGAAAUUAUAGUACUUCCCUGCCACAUGUGCAGGUGGUGAGCUAAAUCUACUAAAUACUAUAGUGCUUUUUGAUGUAUAGUACAGCUCUGGGUGAACUAAAUUUUGCUGAUGACAUUUCCUCGACAUCCGAGUGCAAGAUUCUGGAAGAGCUUUUGGCUAUUAGACUCAAGAACAUGCGUUUUUUUCAUCUUGCUACUUUUAACCUAAAAACAAUGCCACAGUAAAGUCUCUACACAUCUUUCUAUGUGGAGUUGGAAUCUGAUACAAGUCAGGCUGCUAGACGGAGACCAAAACUAGCUCCAGACUCAGAGGAAGACUACAGUUGUUCUUUUGCAAAGGAGUCAGGGAGAGUAAAGACACAAGGAAGCUCAAAAGCCUUUUGAUCAUCUGGGGUUUCUCCCCACCCACAGAAAAUUCCAACAGAUGUAAUAGGACCACAGCACCUCUGGAGCUACUUCUAGCAAUGAGGGAAAACUCUUAAGUUUACUCAGGAAACCAACAGCAAGAGACUGUCUGGGUGAGCCAUAGUGGCAGGACCACAGGGUGUUAACAUUUCACAAGCAAAGGCCUAUAAUUCCCCUGAGAUUCCCCAGGAAGCUUCUGUCAGUAAGAAACAUUUCUAAAUUUCUGAGUAGGGGAUGAAGAAUAGGUCCUCAAAUAUUACGAUAUGAAGCAGGAUCUAAAUGGUGCUUGGGAACCCCUUUACUAUGUGCUUCUUUUACAGCCUUGUACAAACAGACACAAAGAGAUGCAUCCUAGAAAAAGCCACUAGCUUAAACUAGUUAAACUAUUAACUGAAUAAGUUAAUUGAAAGGGCAGGACAAGACUGGCUGUUUCCUGAAUGAUGACUGGACAAACUGCUUUCCAGAACAGAGCCGUGCUAAAUUAGCCCCAAAUGAACAACAAAGGCAAACAUCCUCUGGGUUGAGCAUCAGGAUCCAAAUACCUUGCUACCAUCUUUGAGUCCAAAUCCUGCCAUUUCAGAAUAAAAGGUGAGGAACCCACCA
rnacentral:lncRNA from 1 species